GAGGAUAUAGCUCAAGGGGAGAGCACUUGCCUAACACAUAGGAGGCCCUGGGUUCAAUCCCCAGCACUCA
rfam:Ictidomys tridecemlineatus contig077452, whole genome shotgun sequence.